rnacentral:rRNA from 1 species
CCUACGGGAGGCAGCAGUGGGGAAUAUUGCACAAUGGGGGAAACCCUGAUGCAGCGACGCCGCGUGAGUGAGGAAGUAUUUCGGUAUGUAAAGCUCUAUCAGCAGGGAAGAAAAUGACGGUACCUGACUAAGAAGCCCCGGCUAACUACGUGCCAGCAGCCGCGGUAAUACGUAGGGGGCAAGCGUUAUCCGGAUUUACUGGGUGUAAAGGGAGCGUAGACGGAAUUGCAAGUCUGAUGUGAAAAUCCGGGGCCCAACCCCGGAAGUGCAUUGGAAACUGUAUUUCUAGAGUACUGGAGAGGCAGACGGAAUUCCUAGUGUAGCGGUGAAAUGCGUAGAUAUUAGGAGGAACACCAGUGGCGAAGGCGGUCUGCUGGACAGCAACUGACGCUGAGGCGCGAAAGCGUGGGGAGCAAACAGGAUUAGAUACCCGUGUAGUC